rnacentral:rRNA from 1 species
UACGUAGGGAGCAAGCGUUGUCCGGAAUCAUUGGGCGUAAAGCGCGCGUAGGUGGCCUCAUAAGUCCGCUGUGAAAGUCCAAGGCUCAACCUUGGAAAGCCGGUGGAUACUGUGAGGCUAGAGUACGGAAGAGGCGAGUGGAAUUCCUGGUGUAGCGGUGGAAUGCGCAGAUAUCAGGAGGAACACCAAUAGCGAAGGCAGCUCGCUGGGACGUUACUGACACUGGGGCGCGAAAGCGUGGGAGCGAACGAGG